rnacentral:rRNA from 1 species
UACGUAGGCAGCGAGCGUUGUUCGGAAUUACUGGGCGUAAAGAGUGUGUAGGCGGUGUUCCCAGUCUGUUGUGAAAUCUCCCGGCUUAACUGGGAGGGUGCAGCGGAAACUAGAAUGCUAGAGGGUGGGAGAGGGUAAGCGGAAUUCCGUGUGAGCGGUGAAAUGCGUAGAUAUCGGAAGGAACACCAGUGGCGAAAGCGGCUUCCUGGUCCAGCACCGACGUUCAGGCACGAAAGCGUGGGGAGCAAACAGG